CUCACUGUGAUCCCAAUUGAUUUCUUCUUCAUCUUCUUUUAUGAACCUGGCUUUCGCAUCUUCUUAGCUCUGGGCCAUUCCUCCGGUGAUUUUGGGUUGCAAUGGUUGGGAAAAUAUUUUUGUUAGAACUUUGUACUAACCGAAUGCUUCAGGAUGGUAUAUGAUUUCUGAAACAAGGUCAUAUGGAUUUGAAAACACCAGCUGGAUUCCGUUCAGAUCUCUGUUCAACUGGAAGACUUUCUCUUCCAUCUUGAUGUUGAAAUCUCUAGCCACAAUGUUGUAUUCUUCAAUACAUUUGCUUCCAUAAAAGAGCUGAGUUGUUCUUUCCAGGGGUAAGCAUCCAAAAGGAGAGAGUCCCGACAAAGACAUCUUCCGAGCUCCGAGUCUGUAUAUAUCUGUCACGAAAUCUGCUGCUAUUCCUAUCAGGAAAUAUUGGUACUCGUUCACUGAGUACUUCCGUAACUUGCGGGGAAGAAGAUAGUAAUUCUCCAGGAAAUCGUUGGUUCCGAUACUAAUCAGUAUUCCACUUCCUUCCAUAGCGGCAUUACAGACUUUAGAAAUCGAUGACAAUUCAGAGAAAGCAUGUCAGAAAUCUAAGUCCAGUACAGUAGAAUAUAUAUAUGUUGUAAGAUAUAUAACUAUGCUUGACUUACUAACACGGCAGAGGUUGCAUUGUCUAAGCCGGUUCCAGCUGAAGCGAAACAGACACCAGUGGCAAAGUCUGCAAUGUUGUAUGCUGGAUCUAGGUAGGCAGGGACUGCGUUCUUGAGUCCCAAACCUUCAGAAAUGAAGUCUGGUGCAAUCCGGCCAUUUGAAAAUCUCCCAGUCGCUUUGCCGUCAAAGUAAUCCCGGCCAUAUGGCUGGAAAUUGCUCUUCAGAACAGUAGAAAUCUGGUUGUUGUUGCCUGAAUCAACAGUUGAGUCACCAAAUACGAUAAGUGCGGGAAAUUUUGCACACGUUUCAGGUAUCUUCACCAAGAGCUGAGCUGCUAGCAACAAGAACGCAAGAACUCUGUUUCGCUGCAUGCUUUUUACACAAGUUUUUUCAAUUUUUUGCUUCUGCAAAACAAGAACCUCACGAUUAAUUGGGAAGAACAAUUGGAGCAAGCAUUUAAGAUGGAGAAAGAUAGAGAGUUAGUUGAGGUGAGUAAUGAGCUGAAAAUGAUUGAGAGUUUCAAUAAUAGUUGUGCAGCAGAGAGCCGUAUUUAUAGCUACUAAAAAAGAGAGAAAGACAGAAUAUUUUAAAAUAGAAGGAUUCGUACCAUUGCAAGCUUCAGAUGUAUAUGUAACGCAUCUUCCUUUUUACCGGAUUCACGCUCAAAACUCAACUCUCUGUUCUUGUAUCACUUACUGUUUUUAUUGCUUACUG
rnacentral:lncRNA from 1 species